UCCUACGGGAGGCAGCAGUGAGGAAUAUUGGUCAAUGGACGAGAGUCUGAACCAGCCAAGUCGCGUGAAGGAAGACGGCCCUACGGGUUGUAAACUUCUUUUGUAAGGGAAUAAAGAGUCUUACGAGCUAAGACGUUGCAGGUACCUUACGAAUAAGGAUCGGCUAACUCCGUGCCAGCAGCCGCGGUAAUA
rnacentral:rRNA from 1 species